GUGACGAAGAUGAACCCCACUGAGCCGUGAAGAGGUCGUUGCUCGCCGA
rnacentral:snoRNA from 2 species